rnacentral:lncRNA from 1 species
CUUCAUCUCAUCUCAUUGCCUUCAUUAAUUUUACUGCGUUCAAAUUUUGGCAAUUCCAACCUCGUCUAUCCAAGAUAAUUCACAUAACUUGCUUGAUCCAAAACUUUCUAAAUUAAAACAUACAUAGUUCAGACCGAUCCAAUAAAGAAGGUUAUUAAUUUGUGGAUUAUUUAUUUAUUUAUAUAUUUAUAUAUUUAUUUAUUUUAAUUUUUUUUUUAUUUUGAUUAUUUAAUUAUUUAUUUUAUAUAUAAUUUAUUUUAAUUAAUUUUUUAAUUAUUCAAACUAUCUAGCAAUCAACUCAUGAAAGUUUUUAUAUGCAUCACUAAAAAAAUGACUAUACUAAAAUAUUAAUCACAAAACCAUAAUUACCUAUUAUCAUAUCAAAAAAUAUGUACAAGAAUUCUUCCAAAUCUGUUGUUUAACAGACAUUAGAAAUUAAUUAUUACCUUACAAUAAUAUGGUGAAUUAUGGCCGAUCUAUUAUGGUCAUCAAUUUCCAGGCCAAGUCUUGUUUUCAUUGCUACUAGACCAUGUCCACAUCCCUCCAACACUAUCAUUUUGAUUUCUUCUAGUAGGAACACCUUCACUUUGU